rnacentral:lncRNA from 1 species
AAAAAAGAGAAAAAAAAGAUAAAAAGAAAAGAAAAAAAAAAGGAGAAAGGAAAGAAGAAUAAUAUUCAUAUUGGGCUUGAAAUAUGCCACGGCUCAACAUUAGCAAGGGGUGAACAAGUAAAUAGUAGCUGCCAUCCACAUGUGAAUAUAGAGCACGGUGUUGUUUAUUUGGGGUUGGAGAUGGGCUGGACGCUACAUGCUACUGCACCCAUAAACUAUUAUAUGGGAUUUUCAAUUGAAAAAAAAAGAGACAACANCAGGAGNAGAGGGGCAGCGGUUCAAGAGGUUGAAUGAAAACCCACACAGGUAAAACAGAGAGGGGGAAUUGGCUGACAGAACAGACACGUUUUCUUUGCUUCCUCCCUGGCGUAACAGAAUUGCCUCCUCCCUCACGCAGACACCAAUUCUCAAUCCAUCCUCCACCUCAACAAUCAUCAUACACACCAUUUUCCACCCCUCUGAUCACCACCCCGUAAUCACCUAAUCAGAUNUCCCUUUUGGUUCCCAAUUCCUCAUCUCUAACAGUAUUCAAAUUUCAACCCACCUUGACCCAUACACUGACUCACCAUAUCACCUCUAACCGAAACAGAUUCACCAGACACACCACUCUCACACAUCAACAGAUUGACCUCAUACAUUUUUCUCUCCAUCACUCAACACGCACACGAGGCCUCACGAUCACGCACAACCCAUCACUACAGUCGUAUUCACCAUCACUUACCACGCCAUCCCACCAUCCAUUCCACUGCUCCUAUCAUCUCCAACACCAAUGAUUUCCCAUUAACAGUUCGGAGCAUUAUCAUCCUCCAUCACACAAAACCCAAUCAAAGCAAAGCAGAGAAGAAGCCACUCGCCUCCAGUG